UACGUAGGGGGCGAGCGUUGUCCGGAAUUAUUGGGCGUAAAGGGUUCGCAGGCGGUUUUUUAAGUCAGGUGUGAAAGGCAUAGGCUCAACCUGUGUAAGCACUUGAAACUGGAGGACUUGAGUUAAGGAGAGGAAAGUGGAAUUCCUAGUGUAGCGGUGAAAUGCGUAGAUAUUAGGAGGAAUACCAGUGGCGAAGGCGACUUUCUGGACUUAUACUGACGCUGAGGUACGAAAGCAUGGGUAGCAAACAGGAUUAGAUACCUCCGUAGUCCCUGAGCGGG
rnacentral:rRNA from 1 species